CCCCUUUCCUUUCCUUUCCCC
rnacentral:misc_RNA from 1 species